AGAAGACAACAGAAUGGCAUAAAGAGCUGGGGAAUAAAUCUGUCAACUCAGAAUUCCAUAGCCAUUGAAAUAUCCUUUAAAAACAGAAAGAUAUCCUGUAGGCUGAUGGGAAAAGAUAUCAAAUGGAAACUUGUAUCUACGGGCAGGCAAUCAGUGAAAUGGAAAAAGGAACAGAUAAAACUGCAGAACGGCUGCUGCUCAUACUUUUCUUAAAA